rnacentral:tRNA from 1 species
GGGCCGGUAGCUUAGCCUGGUUAGAGCAGCCGACUUAUAAUCGGCAGGUCGAGGGUUCGAAUCCCUCCCGGCCCA